rnacentral:rRNA from 1 species
CAAUAGCGUAUAUUAAAGUUGUUGCAGUUAAAAAGCUCGUAGUUGGAUUUCUGGUGGGAGCGAUCGGUCUGGCGCUUAGCGCGAGUACUUGCAUCGUCUCCGGCCAUCCUUGGGGAGAGUCUGUCUGGCAUUAGGUUGUCGGGCAGAGGAUCCUCAUCGUUUACUGUGAAAAAAUUAGAGUGUUCAAAGCAGGCUUAUGCCGUUGAAUAUAUUAGCAUGGAAUAAUAAGAUAGGACUUUGGUACUAUUUUGUUGGUUUGCGCACCAAAGUAACGAUUAAUAGGGACAGUUGGGGGUAUUCGUAUUCCGUUGUCAGAGGUGAAAUUCUUGGAUUUACGGAAGACGAACUACUGCGAAAGCAUUUACCAAGGAUGUUUUCAUUAA